rnacentral:lncRNA from 1 species
CUGGGAUCAGGUUUCCUUGAAGUAGAGCCUCAAUUAAGACAAUGCCUAAAAGUAGAAAAGAGAGUGCUAUGGUUUAAACAUUUGUCCCCUCCAAGAGUCAGGUUGAAAUUUAAUUGGUAUUGUAACAGUAUUAAAAGAUGGGGCUAUUAAGAGAUGAUCAAGCCAUGAAGGCUUUACCCUCAUGAAUAGAAUUAUUGCCAUGAUAAAAGGGCAAAUUUGGCCUUCUUUUGCUUCUCUCUUGACUCUCUUCUACUUUUCUGCCAUGUGAGGAACAGUGUUCCUGCCCUCACAAGGAUGCAGCCUUCAAGGUGUCAUCUUGGAAGCAGAGACUGGGCCCUCAUCAGACACCAAACCCGUUGGCAUCUUAAUCUUGGAUUUCCUAGCCUCCAGAACCCAAUCAGAAGAACAGAUGGCCAUCUUCUGUCAGUACUUGAAGACUGUUUCUAAGAAACAUUAAGCCUCCAUCAGGCUCACUUGUUAAUGCAAAAGUCCCACUCAGGACAGAAGCUGGGACAAUCUUUGAAGUUGUCAGGGCCUUUAAGAAUUAUGCUAUCUACUCUGCCUAUGCUCUAUAAAUGGAAAAACGAAGGCUGACUGACAGCACACCUGUCUAUAGCAUGGUUUAUUGAAUAUUUUAAGCUGACUGUUGAGACCUACUGCUCAGAAAAAAAAUUCUUUCAAAAUAUUACUGCUCAUUGACAAUGCACCUGUUCACCCAGAAGCUCAGAUAAAGAUAGAGGUACAACUAAAUGAGUGUUGUUUUCAUACUUGCUAACACAACAUCCAUUCUGCAGCCCAUGGAUCAAGGAGUAAUUUCAACUUUCAAGAUUAUUAUUUAAAAAAUACAUUUCAUAAGGCCAUAGCUGCCAGAGACAUUGAUUCCUAUGAUGAAUCUGGGAAAAGUGAGUCAAAAAAAUUCUGGAAAUGAUUCACCAUUAUAGAUGUCAUUAAGCACAUUUGCAGUUUAGCAGAGGAAAUCAAAAUAUCAAGAUGAACAGGAGUUUGGGAAGAAGUUGAUUCCAAGUCUCACGGAUGACUUUAAGGGGUUCACGACUUCAGAAGAGGAAUUAACUGCAGAUAUGGUGGAAAUAGAGAAUUAGAAUUAGUGGAACCUGAAGAUGUGACUGAAUUGCUGCAAUCUCAUGAUAAAACUUGAAAAGAUGAUGAAUUGCUUUUUAUGUAUAAGCAAAGAAAAUUGUUUCUUGUUAUGUAAUCUACUCCUGGUGAAGAUACUGUGAAUACUUUUGAAAUGACAACAAUGGAUUUAGAACACUACAUAAACAUAGUUGAUAAAGCAGUGGCAGGGUUUGAGAGGAUUGACUCCAAUGUUGAAAGAAGUUCUGUGAGUAGUAAAAUGCUAUCAAACAGCACUGCAUACUACGCAAAAUCUUUUGGGAAAGAAAGAGUCCAUAGAUGGUGUAAACUUUAUCGUAGUCUUACUUUAAGAAAUUGCCACAGCAACCACUGCCUUAGGUAACUGACAUUCUGAUCAGUUAUCAGCCAUAAAUGCCUAGGGAAGACCCUCCAUCAGUAAAAAAUUACAGCUUGCUAAAGGCUCAGAUGAUUAUUAGCAUUUUUUAGCAAAAAAGUAUUUUUAAGAUAUGUAUUUUUAAAACAUAAUUCUGUUGCACACUUAAAAUUAAAAAACUACUUUAUAGUUUAAAUGUAACUUUUCUGUGCAUGGGAAAACCAAAUAACAUGUGUGACUCGCUUUAUUGCUAUAUUUGCUUUAUUGCUGUGGUCUGGAAUAAACUGCGCAAUAUUCUCAAGGUAUGCCUAUAAUAUGUUGCUUCCCAAUGGUUCAUUUGUCUAUGAAGACCUAUAGAUAUUUAUACUAUUAUCCAAUACAAACAUUUUUUAUUUUUACAUCUUUAGUAUCCUAUGUGGUUUUCCUCAUUAAGAACAAGAAUCAGCAAUGCACAGUGGCUCACUUCUGUAGUACCAGCACUUUGAGAGGCUGAGGCGUGAGGAUCACUUGAGCCCAGGAGUUCAAGACCAGCCUAGGCAACAUAUAAAGAACCAAUCUCUAAAAAAAUUUUUUUUUUAAUUAACCAGGUGUGGUGGCAUUUGCCUG